UCACCUCUCUGCAUCUUUUUUCCCCUUUCUUUCAAUCUAAAUAAGUGAUUUUCACAUACAUCAAGUUUUUCUUUCGUGAUUUCGUCGUCUUAGUGCGACGUUCUGUUGUUCGUCGUCUUGUCCGGCGUUGUUUGAUUUCGCAUCUUUUGUUGUGUAGUGUUCGUUUGGUUCGUAUUGAAAGAUCAACUUCAGACAAUCACAAAUUCAAUCAAUGAUUUGGGUAUCAACGUAGUAGAUCCAGAAACAUGGGUAUUCUGGUGAUUUAGAUUUUAUCAUAUUAUUUGUAGGCAUUUUAUCGUUAUAUGCUAUUAAUUUUGAUGAUGUGAGUUUGUUCGCAGAUUCACCCUAUACGUUUUAAGGGAUAUUGAUCAUGUUAUUGUCUCUGAUGUAUUCUAUCAAUUUGAAUGAAUGAAUAUCCUUUGCUUUUGUCAAAAAAAUGAAAAUAUGUCUGGUUUUUUUUUUCUUUUCCCUUUAUCAUUUAAAAAGUUUAACAGACUAGAUGAGUAUAUUUAUACUUAA
rnacentral:lncRNA from 1 species